UACGUAGGGUGCAAGCGUUGUCCGGAAUUAUUGGGCGUAAAGAGCUCGUAGGCGGUCUGUCGCGUCGGCUGUGAAAACCCGGAGCUCAACUCCGGGCCUGCAGUCGAUACGGGCAGACUGGAGUGCGGCAGGGGAGACUGGAAUUCCUGGUGUAGCGGUGGAAUGCGCAGAUAUCAGGAGGAACACCGGUGGCGAAGGCGGGUCUCUGGGCCGUUACUGACGCUGAGGAGCGAAAGCGUGGGGAGCGAACAGG
rnacentral:rRNA from 1 species